GGUGUGUGUGAGUAGAGGGGAGCGGUGAAGGCGGCUCCGCGGCGUCGGAACAGGGCUGCGCCCGCCCCUCCUGCCGCCCUCCUGGGAAUGGGUUGAGGCAUUAUGGGUUUAUUGAGCUGUCUCGGCUGUCACACCUGUCCUGAGGAAAGCCCUGUGGAAGGAGCUCGGUGCCGGGAUUCAGGACCCUGAGGCCACUGUGAAACUGCAAAUUCUUUCCAAGCUGUUGUCACCUCCAGGAAGCAAAGGGCUGCACAACCUGAUGGAUUGCCUUCCUGCUGCUCCGGAGAGAGCAGGCAAUGAAGAGAGGUACCGUUACAGAGAUGAAACAUUUCUGAAGCCAUCCUGAGGUCAAGAGAAGAAGAUGGCAUGAGUGUCCAGACAAGAGGAUGGCUCUCUGUGGUCUCAGACAGUGUUCCCUGGGAGGAAGGGCAGCCUUUGCCUCGCCUGCACAGCUCAGGUGGAUGUGACAGAACUGGUGUGGCCUGACAAGGCAUGAGCAGCUGUCUGUGCACUGGAGUGCCUUGAAACCUUUCUCUGUGAGGUUUUGGACACGUUUCUCUUUGGGAUUUCUUGUGACACAGCACCAGGACAGGAGAAAUCAUUGAGCUCCUCCCAUCUUUGCCAGAAGCUUUGGUGUUUAAGCAGCCAGAGCCAAGAGGCUUCAGCACCAGGGGUGUGCGCUGGAGGGCUCCUGGUCCUGCCCAUGCUGUGGGGUAAGUCGGAGGGACGCAGGGUUCCCCUUUUCCUCUCUGCUGGGAUUAAGUACCUCAGGAAUGCCAUUUCUGACAGCCCAGCCCUACCCCUGUGUGCUGGGAAAGGGCAGCAGGGAAGAGGCAAAUGCCAGAGUUCCUUGGGGCUGACGGAAUUGUGGUGUUUGGCUGUGCCCAGGGGGGCAGGCUGGGCAUUGUUCGGGCACCCAAGGACUGGUCUGGGGCUGGGAGCCCGGGGAGCCGAGCUCUCGGUGCAUUCCCAGCUCUGCCAGCUGCUGCAGGGCUGGGUGCCAGCCUCUGCUGGGGCUGGGGCAGGAGCUGCAGGGGAGGGCUGGCAGGAUUUGGGAGCAGAGGGAGGAAAAUGAGGAACGGUGCUGGGCAGUGCUCAGCCUGUGCUGGUGUCAGCGCAGCCGUGCAGGGCGCCGGGAUCUGGGUUCAGCUCCGGCUCUCCUGGGGUUCAGGGUGCAAGGUCGGAGGGACUGGGUUUAUCUGUGGCUUUCCAGGCCAGCAGGAACAAGGGGAAUGUGGUGCCAGAGCUGUGUCCCAUCGGGCUGCGCUUCCCUCUGAGCACAGAGAGUCUGGGCUGAGGGGAGAUUGCUGCGAGUGCCCCGUGAGCAAUCCAGGGAACUCGGAAUUGCAUCCGCUGCUGGGAACACUGCCUGAGCUCUGCUCAGGCUGUGUCUGCGAGGAGUGGGAUUUGGGCUGCAGAGGUGCUGCUGGGCACAGAAAAUGGAGUAAAUCCUCUCCAGAGACGUGCAGUGAAGGACAGUGUAGCAGGGAAGGGGAGUAUUUACAAACUAUAUCAGUAUUUCUCCCAAAACUGGGAGAAAUGGGGUGGAGCAGAGAUGGGGUGGUUUGGUUUUGUCUGGGCCGGUUAUUUCUUGUGCAAUGUUUUAAAUCUGUUGUAGGAUUGAAUCUCCAGUCUCUUUCUAACAAAAGCUGACAGAAAUUUAGGUUCAGGGUUAGAAGUUGGUAGAAAUGGUAAUGAAGUACAGAAUUUUUGAUGAAAUUGAUAAUAUAAUACACUGUAUUUUUUUUUACUUCUGAAUAGGUGUUUGUCAGUGUUUUCUUUUAGCUGUUUUAAUUGGAGGUGUUUUAUUUUUUUAAGAAAAUUAACCAUAUACUGUAUAGUUUAGAGAAAUGAUUUUUAAUAAAAUUUAGCAUAAGUUAUAUUAAAUAACAUUUAAAUUUAGACUGAAUGAAUUUUGGUAGUAAGGAAUAAUAAACUUAUUUUUAACAGAUAAAAAGAAAAUGUAUUUAUUUAAAUGUAUUGACACUUAAUUUUGUUUGAUUUUAUUAAUACUUAACAUAUUGAAUGUUAUUAUUUAUAAAUAUUGAAGGUUUUUUAAGUCUUUUGGUUUUGAAGAAAUUUUAGCUUGUUGAGUUAUGAUUAUUACUUAUAUCUUUACAGGGUGGUUUUACUUAUUGGGAGCUAUGUUUCUUAAGAAAAUAUUUUAAUUUAUGUUACAUUUCAAAUGGUACUAAUUUGUAUAGUGGGGUUUUUUUUAAUGCAGGAUAUUGAUUAGAUUGUUUUAUAUUUUUUGUGGGCUUUGACAAAUAUUUAUAUGGUUAGGCUUUUCUAUAUUUGAAGUAUGUUUUGAUGGUUUUUGUUGAUAUAGAAUUUGAAGAGUAUUUGGUGUUUGGAGGAAAUAAAGGUGAGUUUUUUUUGGAUACAGGUGAGUUGUAUUUUUAAUGUUACUAAGGACUACUUUUGGUACGUUAUUUUGAUUUUUUGUUUGGUUAUGGGGAGGGUCUCCUGUUAGAUGUGCAAGCAUGAGACUGGCACUAGGGCUUUUUGUCUAAUGGUUGAUGGGUCUGUUUUAUGGGGAGGAGGUGUUAUUUUAAGUUUUAUAAAAUACACUGAGAAUUAGUUAAAAUCAUGUGAGAAACAUUAUGGUAAUUAAAGAGUGCUAUGUUUAAAGAGCUAUAAAUCUUUUUUAAUAACUGCUUGACAUAAGGUGAGCUUGAUCUACUUUUUCUGCCCCAGCAAGCAUCAGGCACGUCUGCAUCAAUGGCACAACUUCUGCCCACUGCUCCUGUUUCACCCGACCAAAAUCAAGAGCAAAAGAUGGUUGGGCUUUAAGAACUUGAAAUAACUUUGAAGCAAAAUA
ensembl:lncRNA